rnacentral:rRNA from 1 species
GAUGAACGCUGGCGGCGUGCCUAAUACAUGCAAGUCGAGCGAACAGACGAGGAGCUUGCUCCUCUGACGUUAGCGGCGGACGGGUGAGUAACACGUGGAUAACCUACCUAUAAGACUGGGAUAACUUCGGGAAACCGGAGCUAAUACCGGAUAAUAUAUUGAACCGCAUGGUUCAAUAGUGAAAGACGGUUUUGCUGUCACUUAUAGAUGGAUCCGCGCCGCAUUAGCUAGUUGGUAAGGUAACGGCUUACCAAGGCAACGAUGCGUAGCCGACCUGAGAGGGUGAUCGGCCACACUGGAACUGAGACACGGUCCAGACUCCUACGGGAGGCAGCAGUAGGGAAUCCUCCGCAAAGGGCGAAAGCCUGACGGAGCAACGCCGCGUGAGUGAUGAAGGUCUUCGGAUCGUAAAACUCUGUUAUUAGGGAAGAACAAAUGUGUAAGUAACUAUGCACGUCUUGACGGUACCUAAUCAGAAAGCCACGGCUAACUACGUG